rnacentral:antisense_RNA from 22 species
AAAAUUUAAAAAUGGCAGAGUUACAAAAAAUAUUUUUAAAUUUUAUUUAUUUGAUUUUAGGUUUUGGGAAAUUUGAAAUAGAAAUGGUGGCCCCGAAUGGACUCGAACCAUCGACCACUACCA